rnacentral:pre_miRNA from 1 species
ACAACAACAUUUGGACCGUGGGUCUACCGAGCAAUAUCACCCGCUCGGUGGAAGAUCUUCCCUUUGUUGUUAAGA